rnacentral:ncRNA from 1 species
UCGGGGGCAUUCGUAUUUCAUUGUCAGAGGUGAAAUUCUUGGAUUUAUGAAAGACGAACCACUGCGAAAGCAUUUUCCAAGGAUGUUUUGAUUAAUCAAGAACGAAAGUUGGGGGCUCGAAGACGAUCAGAUACUGUCCUAGUCUCAACCAUAAACGAUGCCGACCAGGGAUCGGUGGAUGUUGCUCUAAGGACUCUGCCAACACCUUCUGAGAAAUCAGAGUGUUUGGGUUCCGGGGGGAGUAUGGUCGCAAGGCUGAAACUUAAAGGAAUUAAUGGAAGGGCACCACCAGGAGUGGAUCCUGCGGCUUAAUUUGUCUCAACAUGGGAAAACUUACCAGGUCCAGACAUAGUAAGGAUUGAUAGAUUGAGAGCUCUUUUUUGAUUCUAUGGGUGGUGGUGCAUGGAAGUUCUUAGUUGGUGGAGCGAUUUGUCUGGUUAAUUCUGAUAACGAAUGAGACCUCAUCCUGCUAACUAGCUACGUGGAGGUUCCCCUUCAUGGCCAGCUUCUUAGAGGGACUAUGGCCAUUUCGGCCAUGGAAGUUUGAGGCAAUAACAGGUCUAUGAUGCCCUUAGAUGUUCUGGGCCGCAUACAUGCAACACUGAUGCAGUCAACGAGCUUUUCUCCUUGGUUUGAGAGGAUCGGGAAAUCUUCUCAAAUUGCAUUGUGAUGCAAUUAUUGGUCUUCAACAAGGAAUUCCUAGUAAGCGCGUGUCAUUAGCUCGUGUUGACUACGUCCCUGCCCUUAGUACACACUGCUCAUUGCUCCUACCGAUUGAAUGAUCUGGUGAAGUGUUCGGAUUGUGUCAACGAGGGUGGUUCGUCACCAAUGAUGUCAUGAGAAGUUCAUUGAACCUUAUCAUUUAGAGGAAGGAGAAGUCAUAACAAGGUUACCGUAGGUGAACCUGUGGUAGGAUCAUUG